UCCUACGGGACGCAGCAGUGAGGAAUAUUGGUCAAUGGUCGGGAGACUGAACCAGCCAAGCCGCGUGAGGGAUGAAGGUACAGAGUAUCGUAAACCUCUUUUGUCAGGGAACAAAGGCGGGGACGCGUCCCCGGAUGAGUGUACCUGGAGAAAAAGCAUCGGCUAACUCCGUGCCAGCAGCCGCGGUAAUACGGAGGAUGCGAGCGUUAUCCGGAUUUAUUGGGUUUAAAGGGUGCGCAGGCGGUCUGUUAAGUCAGCGGUCAAAGCCCGGGGCUCAACCCCGGCCCGCCGUUGAAACUGGCAGG
rnacentral:rRNA from 1 species